CUCCGUACCGGCCGGUACCGGCUAACUUUCACCUCUGCCAGGGUUUCCUGGGUUUUGCAGGGGCCUCUGCUUGCUUUGCCUGCCCUAGAUUUCACCUGCAGAUUAGAGACAGCAUGUGAUGGACCCAGGAAGAGACGACACCUCGUGGACUUCCUGUAGCUGGAGCCACCAGCUGAGUUCCUCAUUUGGGGCUUGGUUGAGUUGGGCUUCGGGGUGUUGGUGGAAGCACUGAGGGGCCCCUGGCUGCCCCCGUCAUGGCAUCUGCUCUCACCGUCCUCCUCCUCGGCUGCUGGCUGGCCGGGCACAGCGGGGUGUGGGGACAGCCCAGCUACCCCAAACCCACCAUCUCUGGGAUCCCCAGCGAGGGGGUUUCCUUGGGGGGAUCCAUGAGCAUCUGGUGUAAGAGGCAGCACCAGGCCGUGCGGUUUGUGC